GCAGAAAAGAACAGCAGAAGAUUAAAAAAAAACAACAACAAAGCAAAACAAACAAACAGAAAAUCCUCUUAAAACCUGUGCAUUAUUUGAGCCAUCACUGAUAGGCAAACAAAGAAAACAAGUUGAGUGCAUUCCAUGUAGUUUUGGAAGCAAAAACCAGCUAUCUGGUUACAGGUAUUUGUCCCACUGAAAGCUGAGAAAGCAAACUGAAAAUCUUGUUUCCGAAGAUGUGAUUUUCUCUCUCUUUCUUAACUCCAAUUUGGUCUGUAGCAGUAAAUGUAAAUACAUCAGAAGUAAAUAUAAAUAAUAAGUAAAUGUUAAUAUUAGAAAGUGAUACAGCAAAAAGUAACAAUUAUAACUACAAAGAAUAAACACACUGUGCAGCUUUUAAUGGGGGAAGUGAAAACUCACUGAAGUGGGAAUCAGCCAGGCAGUGCUCUGAAGGGCAGAUUUAAAGCAGCAAAAUAAAAUGUAAGUUCAGUAAUACUCACCUUUCUGAAAAAUCUGAUUCUAUAAAUUCUCGAGUUCUCUUUCUUUCCCUAGGAGAAGACAAUUCAAGGUUACUUAUGUUAAAAUAACAUUUCUUUGAUCAAUAAAAUCAAUGUAUUUGGUGUCUAGCUAAAUAAUGUGUUGUUCAGUGCUUAAGGAAGACAACAGCACACGGUUUGACUGAAUUUGAAAGAAAAAGAUGAUGACUUUGGAUGUUGUCUGAGUCCACUGUCAGACAGCUGGUAACAUACAGCGUUUGGGAACUGUCAUAGCAUAGUACUUCAUGUUGCUACCCUGUUAUUCCAAAGCAGUCUCACAGCAGAUACACACCAGCUAAAAAGCUGACUGUGUUAAUGAAGAGAGCUGAACUAAAAUGAUGGCUCUGAAGAUGCUGUGAAAGCCUGCAUGUGUCAGGCUGUGCAAUUCAGAACCUUCAGUCUGACUAAUCCCACCUCCAGCAUCUUCCUAGCAGCAACAGCAGCAAUCCCUGUCCAUGGUGCUUACUGAGUGAAUGAAAAAGCUAUUUGAGGAGAUAAACAGCCAGCAGGAAAACCAACCUUAACAACUGCACACCUGUUUCCACUGGCACACAGGAACAGACAUUGCCAUACAACAAAGUUAAAACAAACAGCGAAGCAACUAGUGUGUGUAACUCUGUGUUCACAUGCUUAAGACAUAAGCACUUCAUAUGCUAAGGACUGUAUUCUUUUCAACUGUGGAAGAACUAGAAGCUGUGAGCUAACAUAUCGCAAAAAUAGCAUAAAUAAAGGAAGAAAAAAAAAUCAUAACAGA